rnacentral:rRNA from 1 species
GAAUAUUGGACAAUGGGGGAAACCCUGAUCCAGCAAUGCCGCGUGUGUGAAGAAGGCCUGCGGGUUGUAAAGCACUUUCAGUAGAGAAGAAAAGCCUGGGGAUAAUACCCUCGGGUCUUGACGUUACCUACAGAAGAAGCUCCGGCUAACUCCGUGCCCGCAGCCGCGGUAAUACGGAGGGAGCGAGCGUUAAUCGGAAUUACUGGGCGUAAAGCGCACGUAGGUGGCUUUGUAAGUCGGAUGUGAAAGCCCUGGGCUUAACCUGGGAAUGGCAUUCGAUACUGCAUCGCUAGAGUAUGGUAGAGGGAAGUGGAAUUUCCGGUGUAGCGGUGAAAUGCGUAGAUAUCGGAAGGAACACCAGUGGCGAAGGCGACUUCCUGGGCCAAUACUGACACUGAGGUGCGAAAGCGUGGGGAGCAAACAGG